rnacentral:rRNA from 1 species
AUUGAACGCUGGCGGCAGGCCUAACACAUGCAAGUCGAGCGAGCGGCGGACGGGUGAGUAAUGUAUGGGGACUGCCUGAUGGAGGGGGAUAACUACUGGAAACGGUAGCUAAUACCGCAUACUAUCGGAUAACCCAUAUGGGAUUAGCUUGUAGGUGAGGUAACGGCUUACCUAGGCGACGAUCCCUAGCUGGUCUGAGAGGAUGAUCAGCCACACUGGGACUGAGACACGGCCCAGACUCCUACGGAGGCAGCAGUGGGGAAUAUUGCACAAUGGGCGCAAGCCUGAUGCAGCCAUGCCGCGUGUAUGAAGAAGGCCUUAGGGUUGUAAAGUACUUUCAGUCGGGAGGCGUUACCGGCAGAAGAAGCACCGGCUAACUCCGUGCCAGCAGCCGCGGUAAUUC